AUGCAUUUCUGGCCGUCAUCGUGAAGGAAUACAACAGCAAGAACACAGGACAGGCUGUGUUCAUAGAUUCAUUUGCAAUGACAGCAAUGUGGCAGGGAAAAAGUCCUAGAUUAAAAAAGAUGAACCCAAUGAAUUAUGAAAUAAUUCUGGGAAUCAACAAUCAACACCACCACUGGACUUUAGUGGUGAUCUACCCACAAGACAAAAAGUCUUUGUUCUUGAAUCCACUGGGGGAAUCAAAACAAGACAUCCAGAAAUGCUUGCAAAUCACAAGGGCAUUUAUGAGGAAGAAGGGGUGCAAUGUCUCACGUUGGACAUGUGACCAGUCAAGCAUCCGAAACAACAGGAUAGCUCAUCAUGUGGUGUAUUUUCACUGAAGGUGCAUACAUAUUGUCACACAGUGUAUGACUUUAGGAUUUUGAUAUAUAUUUUGAGACAUGUACAGUGAAUUACUUACUUUGUUACUUAAAUUUAAAGAUAUUAAAUGAAGCUGUUCA